CCUGGAACUCAGGCUGGUCUUGAACUCACAGAGAUCAACCUGCCUCUGCCUCCUGAGUGCUGGGAUUAAAGGUGUGUGCCACUACUGCCUGGCUGAUGCUUUCUUUCUUUCUUUCUUUCUUUUUUUAAAGGAGAGAGAAAUUUGUGUUCCAAGAAACUGCAUCUGAGUCGUGAGUCAUUCCACCUCUGCCACAACCUGUGGGUUUCUCUGUAGGUUUGGAGACUGUCUUGGAACUCACUUUGAAGACCAAGCUGAUUUGAUGAAGAUGACGUUGGUGUGAUUUGAGUGGACUCAGGAAGAACCUGGGAUGCAGGACUGAUGUGGGUCUUCAAGGAGCCACGCUGAGGAGAGGUUUUAGUCUGAGACUUGGCCAGAGCUCAUGGAGACAGGAUCAGCCCAUUCAACCUGAGGUAAAGGCUGGAGGUGCACACCUUUAGUGCCAGCACUCGGAAGACAGAAGCAGGAGGGUCUCCGUGAGCUAGAGGUCAGCUUGGUCUACAGAGUGACUUUCAGGACAGCCAGAACUACAGAAUGAGAGAGCAUGUCUCAAAAACAAAAACAAGCAAACAAGCAAAUAGAAAACCUCUAAACCAGCAUUGAAGCAUCAACCAGGUAGUGUGAAUCUGGCAGUGUGUCCUCGCAACUACAGCAGCAUCUGGAAUGUAAGAGGCUCCUUUAAACACAUGACAGGUUCUCUGCUGAGCCUGCCACAGUCUUUUUGAAAUUCUUUUCCUUCCAAAAAGGAAGAAGGAACAAAAGAAAGAAGAUCUGAGAUGGUGCAGGAGACCCAUCGUAAUCUGCUUGAAUCUUCAGGGAAACAGUGGAGAAAUGCUGAUAACAGGUAGCAGAAGUCGGUCACGUUUGGGCAGUGGUGUUGAUGAGACACAUCUGGAGAUGGACAUACAGGCAUCAUGCUGUUUCAGGAUACUAUGUCUAGUUCAACACAAUCAGAUGCUGGAAUUCCAAAAGGAAACAGAAAGGGAUCAGCCACAAAAUGUUCCUUGGUCAUGGUGUCUCUUCGCAGCAAUAGAAGAAUAACUACGACAGAAGCUUACCUCAAAGAGCUUGCUGACACAGCAAGGUGAUUUCACAAGAAGGAGAUCUGAGGCUUAGAGCCAGAGGAUGGGGUGCUGAGGCUGUGAACAAGCAUCCAUAGGAAAAGCAUUGGCCCCUCCAACGGACCUGUUAAUGAUGUCAUGAUGGAAGAGAGGUCACCAAGGAAACAGCAUGAUCCACGAAGAGAAACUGUGAGGUUAUAUCAUUCUUGCACAAAUAAAGCCUGUCUGGGGGGGGGGGUCAGAGAAUGGAGCUUGCCACUAGCUAACCAUAGAGGUCUGGAGGUCUGUACAGACAGACAGAAAGUGACAUAGCUUGGCAGAAACAGGGUAUAAGCAAGGAGAAACAGGAAAUGCCUGUCUUCUGUGCUGAGAUGCUUGGAGGUAAGGUGUGCUGUGGUUUGCUCCUUCUCUCUGAUCUCUCAGCAUUUCCCUCUGUAUCUGACUCUGGCUUUUCAUUAUCUAAACCAAUUAAGAACUCCUUUUACAAAACUGUCUUUAGCUCAUUCCAGAAUGAGAGAGCGUUAGUAGGGGCA
ensembl:lncRNA